rnacentral:rRNA from 1 species
UGAAUACGAGACGCUAAGGCGUCGAAGUAGUGUAUGUCAUACUUCCAAGAAAAGCUUGCACUGUCAUAGAUAAAAAACGCCUGUACCAUAACCGACACAGGUGGGUAGGUAGAGUAUACUAAGGGGCGCGAGAUAACUCUCUCUAAGGAACUCGGCAAAAUAACUCCGUAACUUCGGGAGAAGGAGUGCCUUAUUCGUAAGGUUGCAAUAACAAGAUCCAAGCAACUGUUUAUCAAAAACACGGGUCUCCGCUAAGUCGUAAGACGAUGUAUGGGGGCUGACGCCUGCCCAGUGCCAGAAGGUUAAAGAAGUUGGUUAGCAAUUGCGAAGCUGAUAACUGAAGCCCUGGUGAACGGCGGCCGUAACUAUAACGGUCCUAAGGUAGCGAAAUUCCUUGUCGGGUAAGUUCCGACCCGCACGAAAGGCGUAAUGAUUUGGAUACUGUCUCGGAGAGGGGCUCGGUGAAAUAGACUUGUCUGUGAAGAUGCGGACUACCCGCACCAGGACAGAAAGACCCUAUGAAGCUUUACUGUAACUUGAAAUUGAAAUUGGACUUUAUUCGCGCAGUAUAGGUGGGAGGCGUUGAUUAUAAUCUUGUGGGAUUAUUGGAGCCAUCAGUGAGAUACCACUCUUGUAAUGUUAGAUUUCUAACUUUGAAUCAUUAUCUGGUCAAAGAACAGUUUCAGGCGGGCAGUUUGACUGGGGCGGUCGCCUCCUAAACGGUAACGGAGGCGUACAAAGGUUUCCUCUGAACGGUUAGAAAUCGUAUCUAGAGUGUAAAGGCAUAAGGAAGCUUGACUGUGAGACCUACAAGUCGAGCAGGGACGAAAGUCGGUCUUAGUGAUCUGACGGUACUGAGUGGAAAGGCCGUCACUCAACGGAUAAAAGUUACUCUAGGAUAACAGGCUGAUCUCCCCCAAGAGUUCACAUCGACGGGGAGGUUUGGCACCUCGAUGUCGGCUCAUCGCAUCCUGGGGCGGUAGUACGUCCCAAGGGUUGGGCUGUUCGCCCAUGAAAGCGGUACGCGAGCUGGGUUCAGAACGUCGUGAGACAGUUCGGUCCAUAUCCGGUGUAGGCGUUAGAAUAUUGAGAGGAGCCUUCUUUAGUACGAGAGGACCGAGAAGGACAUACCUCUGGUGUACCAGUUAUCGUGCCAACGGUAAACGCUGGGUAGCUAUGUAUGGAGUGGAUAACCGCUGAAAGCAUCUAAGUGGGAAGCCCACCUCAAGAUAAGUAUUCUCAUC